rnacentral:rRNA from 1 species
AGCGGACAGAUGGGAGCUUGCUCCCUGAUGUUAGCGGCGGACGGGUGAGUAACACGUGGGUAACCUGCCUGUAAGACUGGGAUAACUCCGGGAAACCGGGGCUAAUACCGGAUGGUUGUUUGAACCGCAUGGUUCAAACAUAAAAGGUGGCUUCGGCUACCACUUACAGAUGGACCCGCGGCGCAUUAGCUAGUUGGUGAGGUAACGGCUCACCAAGGCAACGAUGCGUAGCCGACCUGAGAGGGUGAUCGGCCACACUGGGACUGAGACACGGCCCAGACUCCUACGGGAGGCAGCAGUAGGGAAUCUUCCGCAAUGGACGAAAGUCUGACGGAGCAACGCCGCGUGAGUGAUGAAGGUUUUCGGAUCGUAAAGCUCUGUUGUUAGGGAAGAACAAGUACCGUUCGAAUAGGGCGGUACCUUGACGGUACCUAACCAGAAAGCCACGGCUAACUACGUGCCAGCAGCCGCGGUAAUACGUAGGUGGCAAGCGUUGUCCGGAAUUAUUGGGCGUAAAGGGCUCGCAGGCGGUUUCUUAAGUCUGAUGUGAAAGCCCCCGGCUCAACCGGGGAGGGUCAUUGGAAACUGGGGAACUUGAGUGCAGAAGAGGAGAGUGGAAUUCCACGUGUAGCGGUGAAAUGCGUAGAGAUGUGGAGGAACACCAGUGGCGAAGGCGACUCUCUGGUCUGUAACUGACGCUGAGGAGCGAAAGCGUGGGGAGCGAACAGGAUUAGAUACCCUGGUAGUCCACGCCGUAAACGAUGAGUGCUAAGUGUUAGGGGGUUUCCGCCCCUUAGUGCUGCAGCUAACGCAUUAAGCACUCCGCCUGGGGAGUACGGUCGCAAGACUGAAACUCAAAG